CCUACGGGGGGCAGCAGUAAGGAAUAUUGGUCAAUGGACGAAAGUCUGAACCAGCCAUCCCGCGUGCAGGAUGAAAGCCCUAUGGGUUGUAAACUGCUUUUAGCAGAGAAGAAAAGCUUUCAUUAAUGAGAGUCUGACGGUAUCUGCAGAAUAAGCACCGGCUAACUCCGUGCCAGCAGCCGCGGUAAUACGGAGGGUGCGAGAGUUAUCCGGAAUUACGGGGUUGAAGGCGUAGGAUGGCGGCGUAUGAGAAAUCUUUUCGCUUAACGAUAUAAUUGCCAAUGAUACUGGUACUCGUGAAUUGGGUUGAGGUUAGCGGAAUGUGACAUGUAGCGGUGAAAUGCAUAGAUAUGUCAUGGAACACCAAUUGCGAAGGCAGCUAACUGGGCCUUGAUUGACGCUGAGGCACGAAAGCGUGGGUAGCGAACAGGAUUAGAUACCCGUGUAGUC
rnacentral:rRNA from 1 species